rnacentral:lncRNA from 1 species
AUGGGCCCCAAAAAAUCUUGGCGAAGCACCUGUACAAUGCUGCUGCCUUCAAAGCCCGGACCAAGGCUCGAAGCCGUGUGCGGGACAAGCGGGCAGACAUCCUGUGAAGCAGGACCUGCUGAAGAGGAGACUUUCUAUGCCCUUGGUCCGUAUUUUUAACAGAAGACAGUGCAACAACUGGUCUCCACCAGUAUUUGUCACUUUAUUUUUUUUAAUGACAAAACCAAAAACAGACAUGGGGUGGGUAGCUGGGGGCCCGGACACUUGGGACCCUGACCCCUUUGUCCCUGCACUCAGCCCUGUGGCCCCUUCCUGUCCUGUCUCAGGCCAGGCUAAAUAUGUGCCUUCCUCAGGGCUGUGGGGCAGGCACUAGGGGGCCUUUCCCUUCCUUUCCUUUCUCAGGCCUUGCUCCCCCAGGAUGACCCACUCUUAGGGGGGUGGUGGCAUCUGGACAAAUGCCACCACAGCAGGUGGGGUGGCAAAGCUACCUGGAAUGGAUUUGUGUGCUGAUUUUUAAGGAUUAUUACAGAUAAUUAAACAGAACGGUCAGCCUUCUGUGGUCUU